GUGGAUAUAGCUCAGUGGUGGAGCAUUUGCCUAGCAUGCACAAGGUCCUGGGUUCAGUCCCCAGUGCCUCCA
rnacentral:tRNA from 1 species